GUGAAUGCAUAACGUGUAGAAUGCAUUGUGAACAUGGAUUCGUAUACGAAGAAGGAUGUCCCACAUGCGAAUGUAGAGCUAGUGCAGGCUGGUCAAAAUGAAGAUGAGAAAUUGGUGGUUGUUUUACACGUGGCGUGACGUAAUAUAGAGACUGAUUUUGAAUAUGAGGAGACCAUGCAAGAUAACAGUGUUUAUAUUGUGCAUCACGAAAAAAGUCAAUAAAUGGUUUUCAUUUGAUUU